rnacentral:rRNA from 1 species
UACGUAGGGGGCAAGCGUUGUCCGGAUUUAUUGGGCGUAAAGAGCGUGUAGGCGGCCAUACAGGUCCGUUGUGAAAACUGGAGGCUUAACCUCCAGACGUCGAUGGAAACCGUAUGGCUAGAGUCCGGAAGAGGAGAGUGGAAUUCCUGGUGUAGCGGUGAAAUGCGCAGAUAUCAGGAAGAACACCCGUGGCGAAGGCGGCUCUCUGGGACGGUACUGACGCUGAGACGCGAAAGCGUGGGGAGCAAACAGG